UCAGUGUAUAAGCAUCCGUGUAUUCGCUCCCAGAUCCAUUGUGCAUCAUCUAUUGCCGCCUUUGACCUGAAAAAUCUGUAUAUAUACUGUAUACAGAUGUAUACCAGCCUUUUUCCUUGUAUAUCAGUCCAUUUUCAGAUUUUGAUGAGGCUUGACUCGAUGGAGGUUGGAUUUAACCCAACAACAUACAAGAGGUGGAGUCCAAUGGACUUUUUUAGUGCAGGAUCCAGGAAGACAAGAUGAUCAAGAUGACUUAGGAAUUGAAAUUUAACUCAAGUUUUGCCGAAGUUUAAAACGACUUCAACGAAUCUUCGGUUACAUGGGAUUAAAGGAACGCUCCUUCAAAAUUUGCAAAUUUUCCCCCGAAAAUCCUCAAAUCAUCCCCCUUCAAUGGAACCAUGGGUUUCUACUUAUAGUGGGAAACAUUUGAUUUAAAAUUCAAAAGAGAGUUUGUUUUUUGUGACAGAGAGUGGUUAGGAAUUUGACAAAAAUUAUAAAAAAAACGAUGAAAAUAUAUCCCAAAAUUCGAAUUUGAUUGUGAUGCUUCUGAUUUGGAUAAGAUUUUGGACCAAGGAGCACACGCUAUAUCAAGGCUCGAGAUUUGCAAAAUUCAGACGUGGGACAGAGAAAGGUGGGUGUUUAUUGUUGGGCCAGUUCGGAUCAAUUAGGGUCGGAGUUUGCGGGUUGCUGUUGUUGUGCGUUGAUUGUUGCUGAUUGUUGUUGCUGGUUCGGGUCAAAACUGGGUUGCGACUGUUGUUCGUUUGGAAUUGAUUGGUUUACCAAUUUUUGAUGGGUUGCAGCUGUUGCUGCGUCGGGUUAAGGUCGGGUCAGCGCCAUUGUUGGUCGCUGAUAUUGCACUUUUUUUUUCUUUGGUUGAAGCUGUUGUAAUUUAUAUUUAAAAUCGAAGAAACUCCGGAUUAAAUUUAGUCGUGAAGGAUAAAUAUUAGGUUUCAACAACUGCCCCCUCCUUUUGGGUAGGGUGGAUGCAAGUAACCCUGGGCAAAGGGAGUUUGACGUUCCUAAUUUUAUGCCCGACCACAAAUUCAUUUCUGAAAGAGGUUGAUUUUCGCACGAGUUUCAUGGAGUUAUGGCCGGACCCCUGCAUCGGGUUUCCUACAUAUCUUAGCUACAUGAGAAUUCAGGUCAUUUGUAGUUCAUAAAGCUUGAUUUUUAAGUGUGAUUUUCAAUAGAUUCACGAGCUAUCCUGAUUUUGAAUUUUAGUGAAAUCGGAAAGCUGGAGAGUAAGCGGAUUUGGGGAUGUUGGAAUGCAAUCGAGUUUUCUAUAUAGAGCUCAGCCUACAUAUCCCUGAGACUCUGGAAAUCAAACUGCUCUUAGUUCGAGUCGAUCGAUAGAAAAUAUAGUCUUUUUAUGUUAAGACGACCUUUGGUGUAAGACCCCAUAAAAGUCCUAGCCUAAUUCAUUCCUAUAUAGCAUGAAAAGAGGUCCCAGACUUAGAAAAUUUCGGCUAAGUAUUGACACUCAAUAAUCCAAUGGUUUUAUUUUCAAUUCUUACGACCUUAAAAUGUCGACCCUUAGAAUGAUUCUUGAUCAGGGAUGUCAAUAGGUCUUCUUGGGUGAGUUUCGAAAUUUUUGGACAAGCAUAAAGGCAUGUUUGGAAGUCCAAAAUAGUGGCUGCAUGCAAUUAGCGUGCGACGCACACUCCAUUCCACCCUUAGGGAGCAUGCGAUAGAGCAUGCGACGCACGCUCCUGAAUUUUUCAGGUCUCGGUUCCACAUCCAUAGGGGUAAAUAGGUCAUUUUCCACCCUAUGUCAUCCCUAAAACACGAGAUUAAGCCUUUCUAAAGGAAAAAUUCACUAAGUAUUCAUAAAUUCUCUCAAGAACAAACCCUAACCCAUCAAAUUCAAGAUUUAGGUCCCAAGAAAUUCACCACAACUUUCAGAGAAUUAACAAUCAAGGUAUGUUAGGUAUUCAUCCUUGAGUUUCCUUUCACCUUUGGAGUUCAAGAACCCCUUUUAAACUACAAGUUCAUUGAAUUCAUGAUUUACAUGUUCGAAUUGGAUUGUGUUCAUGCAUGUGUUGAUGUUGGGUUUUCAAUUUAAGAUUUAAUUGCUAGUUUCAUGAAUAUAAAAUGAUAUGUAUUUGAUUAAUGUAAUUCUCAUGUUAAAACCCCUUGAAUUGUGAAAUGAUUAUUGUAGUCAUGAUGCAUUAAUAUGUUGUUCAUGCCCAAGUGUAAGGUUAUGCCUCCUAAGUAUUUGAUAAAAUGUCUAGGUGAAUAAAGUAUGCAUUGUGAUCCUUUGGUGAUCUUAUAAUGAACUCAUGCUAUCUCUACAUGUUUAAACUACUCUCAUACUAAAGUUAUGCAUUGAAAUUAUUUGAUAGAAUGUCCUUAUGGAUGGAAUAGUGUAUUUAUGACAUGUUGGCAUUUGUCCGUAUUCAUGUACAAGCUCAUGAUUUCCAAGUAUUUAACAAAAAUGUCUAAGUGAUUGCAAUGUGAACAAUUGACUAUUGCCAUGUGUUUCAAGUAUUGUUAUGCUUUAUUAGUAUUGAUGCUAUCGGGUCUUGGGGGUAUUCAAUACCCAAAAAUCUAUCUGUUUAACUAGAACUACAGUAAUUUCGAAGUAGUUUCCAUAAUGUCAUGAACAGCAGUACUCAAUCAGUUACAGAACUCAGUGAACUUAGUGUUGUUCAGUUAGUCAGCACGAUCAGUAAUAGUUCGGUCAAGCUUAGUGCAGUCUACUGGUCAGGUCCGGGUCUAUUCAGUUGGGAGUAGGAAUCAACUCCGAGCGAACCCAGGGAUGGGGGCAUUCUUGCCAGCAGAGGGUUUGACCCUUAGUAGCAAUACAUUACAGAACUACGUAGCCAGUGUAAGGUAAGACGUCCUUCUGCCAGACUAGGGUUGACACAACCACACAUAUAUAAUUUAUGAGUCUUCCUGCCAGCUUAGGGUUAACCCAGCAUUGUUAGUAUCCCUUGGCAAGGUGCUAACACUAUUCCAACUGGGUUACAGGUUGGACCCCAACUCAGUUUAUAAUCGGGGUAUGUCGGUUAGAUGAACACUCCCACAGUUACAGUUUUAGUUUCAGACUCAGUAUAGAACUCAGUUUAGUUCUACAAACUCAGGACUGUCAAAAACAGUCACCCAGUUAUCAGUAAUGCAGUUAUCAGUAAUCUCAAAUAUCAGUCCCUCAGUUAUCAGAACUCAGUAUUCAGUUCCAGUAUAAUUCAUUUUCAGUAUAAUCUCAGUUACAGUAUAUAUAUAUGUAUAUGCACAGUAUUCCCGAAUGGAAGAAAUAUGAACGGAAUGAUAGUUUAUAUAAAUUUUAAACAAAUAAACACGUAAUAAUUAACCACAACAAGUUAGAAAAUUCCUUUUGAUUAGAACAUAGAUAAUUUUCCAGGAGAGUCGUCAUUUCUAUUUUAUCCCUUUUCGGAUUUCGUUUGGGGAGAAAAUGAUUUUGACCUUUUCAAACUAUUUCAUAAAAUUUAAGAAAAUUUCAAAAUAACUUUGAAAAUUUUUACAGAGCCGCCACUUGAUUUUUACAGAAAAUAUCAAGAAAACUUAAAGAUAUUUCAAAGAUUCAAAAUAGAAAUAAAUCUUUGAAAUAAGAGAAAUUGGGUAAGGGUUCAAUUAACGCCCUAAAAGGUUUUUAAGGCACUUAGGAGCGUCCAUUUUAAAACGAUUCACCAAAAGACUUAUUUUUGACUAACUUUAAAAAGGGGUUAAUUUUUGCAAAAGGGUGGUUUUAUAGAAAUAUUACCCAUAGCUCAAGAAAUUAUUUAUUUACUAGUUUAUGAAGACUUAAAUGACAUUUAUUCGAUCAAGCAAAAAAUUGAUCUUGUCUAACUUGAGAAAAUUUUCUGUAAAAAAGGUUGAGCUAAAACUCAUUUCCUUUAUUAUUAUUAUUAUUAUUAUUAUUAUUAUUAUUAUUAUUAUUAUUAUUAUUAAAUAAAAGGGAGAAAGAAAGUGAUUUUUUAACAUCUUUUUAUAACAAAAAAAAAUCAAUUUAAACAAUUAUGAACUUUGACUAGUUAGUGAAAAUAUUUUUUUAACUUUCACGAAGAAAAUUGAUUUUAGGUCGAUGAAAAUUCUUUUAAUUUAAAUGAAUUGCUUUAACAUAAUAAUAAUAAUAAUAAUAAUAAUAAUAAUAAUAAUAAUAAAUAAAUAAAUAAAAAACAUUUAGUUCACUCCAAGGAGGAAGAUACAUUUUUUAUUAAUUUAGAAGAUUACGCUAUGUGAUAAAAUACACAAAAGAAAAAUCCGGAGUCAAACAAAAACGACAAUUCAAAGCGGAUCUAUUAAGGUUAACCAAUUUUAAGAAAUUAAUACAAACACACAAUCAAAUUUACAUGAAACGUAUAAGAAAGGUUAAAAUCUUGGCCCUAUUAGCCCGUUUCAAAGCUGGCCAACCUUUGGGCCUAUUUCCUAUGGACUUUGGGUCCUUUUUCUGCAUUUGUGUACCAGCUGUAUACUGAGCGUAUGUCAGCCACGUUUUCCAGCAUAUUUUGUGUAUAUACACUGUAUAAGCAUCCGUGUAUUCGCUCCCAGCUCCAUUGUGCAUCAUCUAUUGCCGCCUUUGACCUGAAAAAUCUGUAUAUCUACUGUAUACAGAUGUAUACCAGCCUUUUUCCUUGUAUAUCAGUCCAUUUUCAGAUUUUGAUGAGGCUUGACUCAAUGGAGGUUGGAUUUAACCCAACUACAUACAAGAGGUGGGAGUCCGAUGGACAUUUUUAGUGCAGGAUCCAGGACGACAAGAUGAUUAAGAUGACUUUCGAAUUGAAAUUUAACUCAAGUUUUGCCGAAGUUUAAAACGACUUCAACGGAUCUUUGGUUAUGUGGAAUUAAAGGAACGCUCUUUCAAAAUCCUCAAAUUUCCCUCCCGAAAAUCCUCAAAUCCUCUCCCUUCAAUGGAAACAUGGGUUUUUACUUAUAGUAGGAAAAAUUUGAUUUAAAAUUCAAAAGAGAUCUGUCUUUUAUGAUAGAGAGUGGUUGGGGAUUUGACAAAAAUUAAAAAAAAAAAGGAUGAAAAUAUAUCCCAAAAUUCGAAUUUGAUUGUGAUGCUUCUGAUUUGGAUGAGAUUUUGGAUCAAGGAGCACACGCUAUCUUGAACAAAAGUCAAAUAUCAAGGCUGGAGGCCUGCAAAAUUCAGACGUGGGACAGAGAGAGAGGGGUUGGGUGUUCAUCGUUGGGCCGGUUCGGAUCAAUUCGGGUCGGAGUUUGCGGGUUGCUGUUGUUGUGCGUUGAUUGUUGUUGCUGGUUCGGGUCAAAACUGGGUUGCGACCGUUGUUCGUUUGGAAUUGAUUGGUUCGCCUAUUUUUGACGGGUUGCAGCUGUUGCUGCGUCGGGUUAAGGUCGGUCAGCGCCAUUGUUGGUCGCUGAUAUUGCACGUUUUUUUUCUUUUUUUUUCUUUGGUUGAAGUGUUGUGCUGUGUUGUACGUUGUUGUAUGCUUUGCUGUUCUUUUAUGUUGUACGCUGUUAUUUGGAAAGGAUAGGGGAGUAUAGGUUAGUUGGGUCGGGUCACUGGUGUUGGGUUGCUGUUAUUAUUUGUUGGGCUGCCAUUGUGGCCCAAUGGUAAAAAUAAGGAAGAGUUAUUUCAAUUCUUGGGUUAUUCAAAAUAUAGCCAAAUUGGAUGGAGAUUUAGUUAAUUCAUUUAAAUCUUGAUCAUAUUGAUAAUUAAUCGGUCAAUUUGCAUUACAAUUUUGGCCUAUUUAAUUUUAAUUAUGGCCAAUUUCGAUGAAUCGACUAAAUUAAAUCCGAAAUUUGAAAUAAAUUAACAAUUAGUUUAAUUGCGAG
rnacentral:lncRNA from 1 species